UGUUAAAAUUUUUAUCAAUUUGUACUAUUAAAAAUUGGUGUUGUAGAUAGAAUAAUCAGAUAGUGACAUGUGGUGUGUCAUGCGUACUUCAUGUUGAUGUACAGAGAUUAGUUUUGAACGGUAGAAAUAGAAUAAAUUUUUAAUA
rfam:Gossypium raimondii Chr08_contig_1322, whole genome shotgun sequence.